rnacentral:rRNA from 1 species
AGAGUUUGAUCCUGGCUCAGAUUGAACGCUGGCGGCAGGCCUAACACAUGCAAGUCGGGCGGUAACAGGGAGAAGCUUGCUUCUCUGCUGACGAGCGGCGGACGGGUGAGUAAUGUCUGGGAAACUGCCCGAUGGAGGGGGAUAACUACUGGAAACGGUAGCUAAUACCGCAUACGCCCUACGGGGGAAAGCAGGGGACCUUCUGGCCUUGCGCGAUUGGAUAUGCCCAGGUGGGAUUAGCUAGUUGGUGAGGUAAUGGCUCACCAAGGCGACGAUCCCUAGCUGGCCUGAGAGGAUGAUCAGCCACACUGGAACUGAGACACGGUCCAGACUCCUACGGGAGGCAGCAGUGGGGAAUACUGCACAAUGGGGGAAACCCUGAUGCAGCCAUGCCGCGUGUGUGAAGAAGGCCUUCGGGUUGUAAAGCACUUUCAGCGAGGAGGAAGGCAUUAAGGUUAAUAACCUUGGUGAUUGACGUUACUCGCAGAAGAAGCACCGGCUAACUCCGUGCCAGCCGCCGCGGUAAUUC